AGAGUUUGAUCAUGGCUCAGGACGAACGCUGGCGGCGUGCUUAACACAUGCAAGUCUACGAGAAAGAGGUAGCAAUAUCUCAAGUAAAGUGGCGCAAGGGUGAGUAAUAUGUAAGUAAUCUACCUAUGGGUUCGGAAUAACGUCGAGAAAUCGGCGCUAAUACCGAAUAAUGCAGCGGCAUCGCAUGAUGAUGUUGUUAAAGUUGUCCCGACUUGUCGGGAUAACUCCUAUAGAUGAGCUUGCAUCUGAUUAGCUAGUUGGUAGGGUAAUUGCCUACCAAGGCUACGAUCAGUAGCUGGUCUGAGAGGAUGAUCAGCCACACUGGAACUGAGACACGGUCCAGACUCCUACGGGAGGCAGCAGUGAGGAAUAUUGGGCAAUGGACGGAAGUCUGACCCAGCAACGCCGCGUGGAGGAUGAAUGCCGUAAGGUUGUAAACUCCUUUUGAAGGGGACGAAUAUUCAAGUUCCGUAAGAAACUUGAACUGACUGUACCCUUAAAAGAAGCCCCGGCUAACUACGUGCCAGCAGCCGCGGUAAU
rnacentral:rRNA from 1 species